rnacentral:tRNA from 1 species
GGCAGUGUAGCAUAGUGGUUAAGGAGCAGGGCUCGUAACCUAAAGGUUGCUGGUUCGAUUCCAGUGCUGUUG